UGAGGGUGGCGGGAGCCGCCCUGACCGGUCGGCAGAAGUCAGCAGAGGGCAGAGUAGGUUCGCGGCAGGCGAGGCUAGUGAGGCACCCCAAGGCC
rfam:Candidate division NC10 bacterium RIFCSPLOWO2_02_FTLL_66_22 rifcsplowo2_02_scaffold_56575, whole genome shotgun sequence.